GUGCUCCCUUUGGCAGCUUAUAUACUAAAAUAUUGGAACAAUACAGAGAAGAUCAGCAUGGCCCCUGCACAAGGAUUACACGCAAAUUUGUGAAGCAUUCUGUAUUUUU